AGGGAUCAUUACAGAGACUCUGCCCUUUGGGUAGACCUCCCACCCUGUGUCGUUAUACCUUUGUUGCUUUGGCGGGCCGCGGGGCCCCGGCCCCGCCCCUGGCUCCGGCUAGGGCGCGCCCGCCAGAGGACCUCAAAACCUGAAUGUUAGUGUCGUCUGAGUACUAUAUAAUAGUUAAAACUUUCAACAACGGAUCUCUUGGUUCUGGCAUCGAUGAAGAACGCAGCGAAAUGCGAUAAGUAAUGUGAAUUGCAGAAUUCAGUGAAUCAUCGAAUCUUUGAACGCACAUUGCGCCCCUUGGUAUUCCGGGGGGCAUGCCUGUUCGAGCGUCAUUACAACCCUCAAGCUCUGCUUGGUCUUGGGCGUCACCGGUCCCGGUGUGCCUUAAAAUCAGUGGCGGCGCCAUCUGGCUCUAAGCGUAGUACAUACUCUCGCUACAGACGUCCGGUGGAUGCUGGCCAGCAACCCCCAACUUAUCAAGGUUGACCUCGGAUCAGGUAGGGAUACCCGCUGAACUUAA
rnacentral:ncRNA from 2 species